GUUUGAUCCUGGCUCAGAAUGAACGUUGGCGGCGUGGAUUAGGCAUGCAAGUCGUGCGAGAAGCCUUCCUUCGGGGAGGUGGAUAGUGGCGAAAGGGAGAGUAAUGUGUGGAUACCUACCUUUGGGUUCGGAAUAGUGGUGGGAAAUUGUUGGUAAUGUUGGAUAAUAUUUUUGGAUUAAAGCUUUGGCGCCUGGAGAUGGGUCCGUGUUUUGUUAGUUAGUUGGUGGGGUAAUGGUUUAUUAAGGUAUUGAUGGGUAUUGGGUGUGAGAGUAUGGUUUGGUUUAUUGGGAUUGAGAUAUUGUUCAGACACCUAUGGGUGGCUGCAGUCGAGAAUCUUCGGCAAUGGACGAAAGUUUGAUCGAGCGACGCCGCGUGCGGGAUGAAGGCCUUCGGGUUGUAAACCGCUGUCAGAGAGGCGGAAAGUGUAAGCUUGACCUAAUCUCAGAGGAAGUACGGGCUAAGUUCGUGCCAGUAGCCGCGGUAACACGAACCGUACAAACGUUAUUCGGAAUCACUGGGCUUAAAGGGUGCGUAGGCGGCUCGGUAAGUUGGGUGUGAAAUUUCACGGUUUAAUUGUGGAAUUGCGCCCAAUACUGUUGAGCUUGAGGGAGACAGAGGUGAGCGGAAUUAAUGGUGGAGCGGUGAAAUGUGUUGAUAUCAUUAGGAACACCGGUGGUGAAGGUGGCUCACUGGGUCUCUUCUGACGCUCAGGCACGAAAGCUAGGGUAGCGAAUGGGAUUAGGUAUUUUGGUAGUUUUAGUUGUAAAUGGUGAGUACUGGAUCGAGGCGGCUUUUAUACCGUCUCGGUCGUAGUGAAAGUGUUAAGUGUUUUGUUUGGGGAGUAUGGUUGUAAGGCUGAAACUCAAAGGAAUUGACGGGGGCUCACACAAGCGGUGGAGGAUGUGGCUUAAUUUGAUUUAUGUGAAGAAUUUUAUCCUGGAUUUGACAUGUUUGGGAAUCCUCUUGAAAGAGAGGAGUGCCUUUCGGGGAGCCCUUACACAGGUGCUGUAUGGCUGUCGUCAGUUUGUGUUGUGAGAUGUUGGGUUAAGUUUUUUAAUGAGUGAAACCCUUGUCUCUAGUUGCCAGUGCGUUAUGGCGGGGACUCUAGAGAGACUGCCAGUGUUAAACCGGAGGAAGGUGGGGAUGACGUCAAGUCCUCAUGGCCUUUAUGUCCAGGGCUGUACACGUCCUACAAUGCGGCGUAUAAAGGGAAGCGAACCCGUGAGGGUAAGCAAAUCCCAAAAAAAUGCCGCUUAGUUCGGAUUGCAGGCUGUAAUUUGCCUGCAUGAAGUUGGAAUCGCUAGUAAUCGCGGGUUAGUAUACCGCGGUGAAUGUGUUCCUGAGCCUUGUAUAUACCGCCCGUCAAGCCACGAAAGUGGGGGGGAUUUGAAGUUGUCU
rnacentral:rRNA from 1 species